CAUCCUCCUAACACAGCCCGAUCCACCUUUAUCUUCUCCUCCACCAAUCAUACAAACACAACAACAACAGUUCGACGCCAUCAACAACCCGACCAACUCUAAAUACCCGAUUCCAUCAACCCCAACCCGUCUAUUUUUCUUCACACGCGUCUCAUGCAUCCGUAGGACGAGAAAAGGAUUCAAAAAUCUUCUAGAACGAGCCUAGUUGUCCCCCCAAUGGUUCGAUUCCAUGAUUUUCGGGUGUAAUUGUACAAUUCCGUGCAUGUAUGUCAUAAUUUCAUUGGCUCAUGGUAAAAAUUUAUUUUCUCCCAAUCUCAUUGGUCCACCGAUUUCAAUAAUGGUACGUUCGUUGAUGAAACCCCAAGCCUAAGGGGAAAUUCGAAUUUCAAAUUCGAAGUUACCUUAUUUUUCAAGUCUCGAAAAUACCCCCAAUUCGUCAUCUAUAUAAUAAAUGAUUGGGUCACUGUUUUAAAAGGAGAUUUGGGGGUGGGGUGGGGGGGUCGAAACUUUGGGGUGUUCGAAAAUUCUUGAAAGGUUUUGGGGGGAUUUUUCUCUUCUUUACAGGUUGGAGAUUCUAGAAUUGAAAAUUCUUUAGAAAAAUUCUAGGGUUAGGAACUUCAAUGCAAAAGAUUUUCUGAGAGCUAGUUAGGUCGGAAAAGGGAGGUUGGAUAAAUUUCCUAGAAAUCUUGAGGUUGGAAAACUUCGAUUAAGAAAAGCAAAGGAAAAGCAGAGAAAAGAGGGGUUGAGAGAAGAGGGAACAUUUCCUUAGCAAAAAACUCUAGAGAAAGCGGUGCGCUGGUAGAGAUUUUGGUAAAGACAUCAAAUUUUCGGUGGUUGUGAUCUCCCUACCCGCUAUUCAUCUCUUUUUUCUACACUUAAAGAGGAGAGGAGGAUCUGUUCAAGGCUCUUAGCCAAAUUGAAUGAUAUUCGGAUCAGUGCAUGGAUUGUUUCCCGCCACUUGGCUAGGUUUAAAGGACUUAUUUAACUAACCAUGGUUUUCAGAUUGCGUUGCCCCCCUUCUUUUGCUCUAUUUGUUUUCCUUUAGAGUGUCUCAUUAUUUCUGCCUCCAUGUUUCAUUCUCGUUUUUCCUUGCUUUCUUUCCUGGUUGGGGUUUUCUGCAAUAUGUGAAGAAGUAGGCUUCGUAUGGGGUAAAGUUUCUGCAUGGCUUAAUGAAUCUAUGUGAACGUAGAAGCUCGAUACGACUAAUAGAAUUAUCGCUUGCGUUUGAAUUAAUCUGAAUAAUUAGGCAUUACUCGACUGAACAAUUAUGAUGGGUAUAGUAUGCUAUAACUUAGAGUUGAGUAGUUUAUGCUUCAUGUACAAUCCCGCAUUUUAAGAUUAACCUUUAUUCCAUCUGUUUAUUCGUAACUUCGAUGAUCGUUGAUGAUAUCUCUGAAAAAGGAUAGAUAGAACACUCUUAAAAUUUAAACCCCGAAAACCUUUCCAGUGUUUUUUCCUGAAUGUGAUAAUGGAUGCUAAAUUCUCUUAUGUAUUCUGUGGGAGCACCUUGAGCAUGAAGUAUAAUCUUUCUGAUUGCUAUUUGUGGCUUAUUAUGAUAAAUGAUUAGUUACUCUGAGUUUAAAGGUCUAAUGUAGUGCCUUACCCUUUUCUCUUUAUUUCGAUGCAUAUGAAUUCAUUGGAGUCCGAACGGACUCUUUGCAUUCCCUAAUGAGCCAAUAAGGCCCGCCAUUGAGUCGAGCCCGGAAGAGAGUAUAAGGUAGCAUAGCAUACGAAUGCUAGUCAUUAAAGGAAGAAGACGGUAGAUCAGAGUUUCACCUUUGAAGCAGCUACGAGAUUCAAAAGUCUCAUUUAUUAUUUUGUCCAUUUACUUAUUGCCAUAUUUAUUUAUUUAUUUAUUUCUUAUUUAUUCAUUUGGGCCUCGAAGCCAAAGUUGUACUUAAUACAGGUGAAGCGGGACUCGAGCUAAAGGCUCGAAAACAUAGAAUUAGGACAGGAGAAAAUGGGUCGAAAACCCAACUAGAUUAGGACAAGGUCGACGGUUUGGGCUAAAAAGCCUAAAUCACUACUUCCCCGCUUUUUCC